CAGAGGCAGAAUACUGCUAGCUGUAGUAUUCAUGUCUAUGUUACCGGCUUCAAUAUUCAUCAACUGACCUUUGAGUGAAAACCAAUCUAUCUCAGUGCCUGACUGUUUUCCCCAGCAUACCAUGAGACAGAACCCUGUGGUGAUGACGUUGGAGCGGCCGGUGGUGGCCGAGGUGCCGACGGUGAAGAGGAGGCGCUGUGUGAAGGCCCGCCGCAGCAGCCGCAGGACGCGCUCCCCUUCCUCGCUCGCCGGCAGGAAGGCCCGACGAGACGUGCCGGCGUACAAUUGGCCCGGGUUCGGAUGGCCGGCCUGUCCACAGAUUAAUCAUUUAAAAAACAUUUUAAUUAAAUUAAUUCAUUUAUUCAA